CAUUGUUGCUUUCAUCCACAAAGCUUCUUUAAGUUUACAGCUUUGCAGAAACACAAGAGGGACAAAGAAUUUGUUUGGCUCAAGAAUUUGCGUAUGUGCUGCAGAUGAAGGAAGAUCUUUGCUUCUAUUUAGUUAAGUUAUUUCAUUUUCAAGGUGAAUGAAAACAAAAGUGCAAAUGCUUAAUCUUCACAUUGAUGGUGAUACAGAGUUGAUCCAUGAUCUAGCAUACUCGUAUUUGGUGCAAUUAGACACACGGAAGUGGAUUGGAAAAUGGUUCAUGCUAAAAAAGGAUUAACUUUCAGUACGUUUGAAGUUAUAUGGGGGAUAAGUAAUGGACAUAAACGUCUCGACGAGCCACACGCAUGGACAAAUGCUAUAGGCGGGUUUUCCCAAAUCUCGGCAACCAAUUUCGUCAUCUAGAGCUCCAAUUUUGAAGCCAAGGCUGUUAAUUUCAAGGAUCCCUUGGAGCGGUUACAAGUUGCGUCUGAUGGCACUUGGCGUUCAUGGGCUAAGUUACGCACCUCUGAUUGGAACUUAUAACCAAUGGAGAUUUAAUCAAAAUUGCCUCUAAUGGCAAGUUACCCUAUGAUGCCAAGUUACCAUCUGAUGAAGAUUAAGGAAACCUACCACUGAAGCAAGUUACCUCUAGUGAAGAUUGAAGAAGUCUCGCUAAUGAAGAAGAUGCUACAUGUUGGCCACUUGUCAAUUUCGUACAUCUCAACAAGAUAGUAAAACUAGCCUAUGAUGUCAAGUUAACAUCUCUUGAGAGGAUGUUAUACGUAAUUGUCACUUGUGAAGUUGUUGAGUGUGAAUUUGGUGCAUGAACUUAUGUGUGCAAACUUCAGAGAAAAUUUGCAAGUCACCCAACCUUCCAUAGCUAGGAAAUCAUCUUGAAUUUCAGUUGUAAUUUGCGACUAGUUUUACGUUAUGUAUUGAAACAUUCGAUUUCAAUUA